GAUGAAGAACGCAGCGAAAUGCGAUAAGUAAUGUGAAUUGCAGAAUUCAGUGAAUCAUCGAAUCUUUGAACGCACAUUGCGCCCGCCAGUAUUCUGGCGAGCAUGCCUGUUCGAGCGUCAUUUCAACCAUCAAGCCCCAGGCUUGUGUUGGAGCCCUGCGGCUGCCGCAGCCUCCCAAAACCAGUGGCGGGCUCGCUAUCACACCGAGUGCAGUAGUUUACUCUUCGCUCAGGGCGUGUGGCGGGUGCUAGCCGUGAACCCCCCAACUUCUCAAGGUUGACCUCGGAUCAGGUAGGAAUACCCGCUGAACUUAAGCAUAUCAAUAAGCGGAGGA
rnacentral:misc_RNA from 1 species